rnacentral:tRNA from 1 species
GGCUAAAUAUUCAAAUAUGAUUUAAAAUUGCAAGUUUUAAGGUACUUAAUGUUUUAGCUU